AUUGAACGCUGGCGGCAGGCUUAACACAUGCAAGUCGAACGAGUGGCGGACGGGUGAGUAAUGCUUGGGAAUCUAGCUUAUGGAGGGGGAUAACUACGGGAAACUGUAGCUAAUACCGCGUCCCAUAGGAUGAGCCCAAGUGGGCUUAGGUAGUUGGUGAGGUAAAGGCUCACCAAGCCGACGAUCUCUAGCUGGUCUGAGAGGAUGACCGGCCACACUGGGGGUGAGACACGGACCAGACGCCUACGUGAGGGAGCAGUGGGGAAUAUGGCGCAAUGGGGGCAACCUGACGCAGCCAGGCCGCGUGAAUGAAGGAGGCCUUCGGGUUGUAAAGUUCGUUCGGUAGCGAGGCGUUAACUACAGAAGAAGCACCGGCUAACUCCGUGCCAGCAGCCGCGGUAAUAC
rnacentral:rRNA from 1 species